rnacentral:lncRNA from 1 species
GAAAAACGUAGUGUAGACAAUCCUAAAAUAGUUGAAGAAAUUAAAAAGAAAAGGCCCAGGAAAAAUAAAAGGCGUAAGAAUCAUGUUAGAAAUUGCGAUAAUUCUAGGAUUUUUGUAAAUGAGUCUAGAAUUAAUCAUUUUAGACCGCCUAGAAAUGACUCUAGGAAUUUCAACGCUUCUAGGAAUAACGCCUUUAGAUCACCUAGAACGUUUUUGGCUCAACCAAG